rnacentral:rRNA from 1 species
GAUGAACGCUGGCGGCGUGCCUAAUACAUGCAAGUCGAGCGAACGGACGAGAAGCUUGCUUCUCUGAUGUUAGCGGCGGACGGGUGAGUAACACGUGGAUAACCUACCUAUAAGACUGGGAUAACUUCGGGAAACCGGAGCUAAUACCGGAUAAUAUUUUGAACCGCAUGGUUCAAAAGUGAAAGACGGUCUUGCUGUCACUUAUAGAUGGAUCCGCGCUGCAUUAGCUAGUUGGUAAGGUAACGGCUUACCAAGGCAACGAUGCAUAGCCGACCUGAGAGGGUGAUCGGCCACACUGGAACUGAGACACGGUCCAGACUCCUACGGGAGGCAGCAGUAGGGAAUCUUCCGCAAUGGGCGAAAGCCUGACGGAGCAACGCCGCGUGAGUGAUGAAGGUCUUCGGAUCGUAAAACUCUGUUAUUAGGGAAGAACAUAUGUGUAAGUAACUGUGCACAUCUUGACGGUACCUAAUCAGAAAGCCACGGCUAACUACGUGCCAGCAGCCGCGGUAAUACGUAGGUGGCAAGCGUUAUCCGGAAUUAUUGGGCGUAAAGCGCGCGUAGGCGGUUUUUUAAGUCUGAUGUGAAAGCCCACGGCUCAACCGUGGAGGGUCAUUGGAAACUGGAAAACUUGAGUGCAGAAGAGGAAAGUGGAAUUCCAUGUGUAGCGGUGAAAUGCGCAGAGAUAUGGAGGAACACCAGUGGCGAAGGCGACUUUCUGGUCUGUAACUGACGCUGAUGUGCGAAAGCGUGGGGAUCAAACAGGAUUAGCUACCCUGGUAGUCCACGCCGUAAACGAUGAGUGCUAAGUGUUAGGGGGUUUCCGCCCCUUAGUGCUGCAGCUAACGCAUUAAGCACUCCGCCUGGGGAGUACGACCGCAAGGUUGAAACUCAAAGGAAUUGACGGGGACCCGCACAAGCGGUGGAGCAUGUGGUUUAAUUCGAAGCAACGCGAAGAACCUUACCAAAUCUUGACAUCCUUUGACAACUCUAGAGAUAGAGCUUUCCCCUUCGGGGGACAAAGUGACAGGUGGUGCAUGGUUGUCGUCAGCUCGUGUCGUGAGAUGUUGGGUUAAGUCCCGCAACGAGCGCAACCCUUAAGCUUAGUUGCCAUCAUUAAGUUGGGCACUCUAAGUUGACUGCCGGUGACAAACCGGAGGAAGGUGGGGAUGACGUCAAAUCAUCAUGCCCCUUAUGAUUUGGGCUACACACGUGCUACAAUGGACAAUACAAAGGGCAGCGAAACCGUGAGGUCAAGCAAAUCCCAUAAAGUUGUUCUCAGUUCGGAUUGUAGUCUGCAACUCGACUACAUGAAGCUGGAAUCGCUAGUAAUCGUAGAUCAGCAUGCUACGGUGAAUACGUUCCCGGGUCU